GCUUCCUACCACUUUUUCCUUCCACUGUAGAAUAUUUGGGGCCUUUUACUACAUCAUUUUUUUGGGCCAUUAACACUGUAUUCACUUUCCCAUUUCAUUUUGCAAGCCCUAACGUUCUCUCUCCUUCCAUUAUAGCUCUCUCUCCUUCCAUCACCGAUCUCGUCCAAUCUUAUAAUCUGUUUUGUUUUCCAUCACAGCUCUCUCUCCUUCCAUCACCGGUCAUCACAGCUCUCUCCCCUUCCAUCAGUCAGCGUUUCAAAACCCGAAUUUUAAUCAGAAUCCAAUGCUUUAAAACUAGUGGCUUGGUUUAGAGAGACAAAGUCAUUGCUAUUGCACACACAAAGAGAGAAAGAGUCAUCGUUGGGGGUUUCCAAAACCUUGUCUACACUAACAGAUCGGAGUAGAAUUUUUUUAGGAGUGGUUUAGUUUUUUGAAUAUCUUGCAAUUGAGCGUCUUCCUUGCUUUACCUGUUCUCUGUCUUUAAUCUCUCGGCUUUCUUCAAGCAGACUCUUCCUUCGCAUCUUCAAGAGCAUAAGUCAGGUAUGAUCUAGCGAGAGAAGUUGAAAUAGGAAAUAAGGACGUAAAGCUUGAAUACCUAGAAGGAGCAUUCACAACAUCCAACUGGAUAGUUUAGAUUUACAAAGUCAAACCACCAAAUAAUAGGGGCUGGAUUUCAAUUCAAAAGCAAGUAUUUGUUUGGGAAAGUAAAUAUUCAGAUCAAGCUUGUAGAGGGUGACCCUGCAGGGACUAUCACUGCUUUCUAUAUGUCAUCAGACGGCUUAAAUCACAAUGAGUUCAAUUUUCGCUCCCUAUUUUGUUUGUGGCUUCAAUAUUUUCUUUCAAGAAUAUUGCAAUAUCUCAAUUAGUUGAUAAAGCAAUUUAUAGUAGUGAUAAAAUAAUUAUGAUGAUUUCAGCAACUUUUUACUAAAUGGCGUUUUUGAUCUCUCUCUCUCUCUCUCCUUUUAUUUAAAUUGGAUUCUUUGUAGGGCUCUGCAAAUCAUCUAAUGCCAAGGACUGACUCUUGAUUACUUUAGGACAAUUUCAUUUACAUCCCCAUCUACCUUGACUUUAAUGUGUUUUAAGGACAUAAUGUGUUUUAAGUACUAUUUCUUUAAUUCGUUGCAUGUAUUUUGUUUGUAUUUUGUUCACAAAUAUUAGAAAAAAGAAAGUUUGAAGUUUGAUGAGUUCUUUUGAAGAAACUUGUGGUUGUGUUCUUUAAUUGGUUGCAUGUAUUUUGUUUGUAUUUUGGUUUCAACAGAACAAGGGUUAUGACCAUAAAAGAGAUCCAUGUGCAGUUUUCAAUGUGUUGGAUUCAAUGCUGAAGGGUAGCUUGGAGCGGUUGAAAACAAUGAGGUCAAUAAGGUUUAAACGGGCUAAAAAUCGUCUAUUACAGCCUUUUUGAAGUCAAGCAGAAGUUCCGAGAAGAUUUCAGAAAAAUUCAGAAAAAGGUCAAAAAUGCUGAAUUUUUAGAUCGAUUGAAGAUUUCUUGGAGAUUUCUUCGAUCAAUCGAAAAUGUGCUUGCAACAAGCUGUUUUAUUCCCAUGCACCCGAACUCUACCUACCACAUAGUUGCGGGAUUGGAUAUUUUAUGGGCUUCUUUUCUGACUUAUUCACUACUCUAAGGACCUUGUAUAAAGGGGGGAAUUGAACCAUUAUGUAAUAAAUCUUUUGUCUUCAAUUUUAUUUUAAUUUUUACAUUAUAA